UUCUACGGGAGGCAGCAGUGAGGAAUAUUGGUCAAUGGACGCAAGUCUGAACCAGCCAUGCCGCGUGCAGGAUGACGGCUCUAUGAGUUGUAAACUGCUUUUGUACGAGGGUAAACCCCGAUACGUGUAUCGGGUUGAAAGUAUCGUACGAAUAAGGAUCGGCUAACUCCGUGCCAGCAGCCGCGGUAAUACGGAGGAACCGAGCGUUAUCCGGAUUUAUUGGGUUUAAAGGGUGCGUAGGCGGAUUGAUAAGUUAGAGGGGAAAUGUCCGGGCUCAACGCGGGAACUGC
rnacentral:rRNA from 1 species